UCAAGAAACUUCCACAAUGGGCGAAAGCCUGAUGGAGCGACGUCGCGUGAUGGACGAAGUGCUUCGGCACGUAAACAUCUUUUAUGUGGGAUGAAAUUAUUGACAGUACCACAUGAAUAAGGGGCUCCUAACUCUGUGCCAGCAGGAGCGGUAAUACAGAGGCCCCAAGCGUUAUCCGGAAUCACUGGGCGUAAAGGGUGUCGAGGCGGUUGUAUUAGUCGUUCGUAAAAUCUACGAGCUUAACUUGUAGGCGGCGAACGAAACGGUACGACUUGAGGUUUGGAGAGGUGCGUGGAACUCACGGUGUAGGGGUGAAAUCCGUUGAUAUCGUGGGGAACACCAAAGGCGAAGGCAGCGCACUGGCCAAAAUCUGACGCUCACACGGACGAAAGCUAGGGUAGCGAAGAGGAUUAGAUACCCAGGUAGUCCCUGAGCGGGCUGGCAAGGCGCAU
rnacentral:rRNA from 1 species